CCGCGGACCGCACUCCGGGGCCGGGGGCUAGGCCUUCGCCCCGGCGGCAACCAAAGUCGUUCCCAAGCAACGACGCGCCCGACAACUUUUCUCUUGCCCUUGAACCCGAGACACAAUCCACCCCGAGGACUCCCAUUCACACGUGAGGACUUGACAGCCUCCGAGCAGGGCAGGGAGGGAAGCCGACCUCGACUUCCUCCGCCGUCCUGUUCAAAGCAGCAGUUUGGAGAUCUUGGCAGGGGGGAAAAAUCAUCCGAAGGGCCCGAGCGGGGAGAUACCUGGAAGUACAAUCGGGACCAGCCCCCCCUCUCCCCCCCAAUCCCCGCACCACGCGUUCCUCUUUCAGGGGUCGCCACCGAGACGCUCCUUGUCUCCCCAGCUCUCUCCCCCGCUUCCCGCCAGCAAUUGCUCCCCUUUGCCUUUAGAAAAGGGGGGGGUCACCAGUCCAGAUGGCCGGUCCAGCCGUCAGUCCAGCCAUCCGCCAGCAGUUCUGCGGCGCGCGCGAUCCGCAUACCUGUUAGGCGGCGUCUUUUUCAUGCAUCCGGUGGGGGCUCAGCUCCGAUUCCCUGGGGCGGAUCCGCCGGCGAAAGGGAGAGAGAGCGAGCGGCGCCCGCGCGCCUUUCCUGCCGCCGCCGCCGCUUCUUUCCCUUCCUUCCGCGCUCUCCCUUUCUUUGGCUCUCUCUCUCUCUGUGUGUGCGUGCGUGUGUGUGUGUGUGUGUGUGUGUGUGUGUGUGUGUGUGCGUCUCACGCCAGCAUACGCGCGAAGGCAGGCGCACGGCGUUCCUCCAGGAAGUCGGGCUCUGCGAGCGAGCCAGCCGGACCGACUGGCCCUUCCCUCCAAUGUGCCUUUGUUUAUGUGGGCUCCGUAUUGCAAAGCCAACAUGCACCUCAAGUCUCCAAGCGUCAGUGCACGUCAGUGCCGCCCGCCCAAUCAGCCAGGCAAGGGGCUGGAUCGCUCGGCACAGUUGGCUAGUUCUUGCUUUGGUAAAUUUCCGACGUGACAUCACCAAAGAGUGGCGCUUUUAA
rnacentral:lncRNA from 1 species